rnacentral:rRNA from 1 species
AUACGUAGGGAGCGAGCGUUGUCCGGAAUUACUGGGCGUAAAGGGCACGUAGGCGGCGCUUCAAGUCGUCUGUCAAAUGGGAGGGCUUAACCCUUUUUCGCAGACGAAACUGGAGAGCUUGAGAAGCAGAGAGACAAACAGAAUUCCUGGUGUAGCGGUGAAAUGCGUAGAUAUCAGGAAGAAUACCAGUGGCGAAGGCGGUUUGCGGGCUGCAUACUGACGCUGAAGCGCGAAAGCCGGGGGAGCAAACGGGAUUAUAUACCCCGGUAGUCCUGGCAGUAAACGAUGUAUGCUGGGUGUGAGACUAGCGAUAGUUUCGUGCCGAAGUUAACGCGAUAAGCAUACCGCCUGGGGAGUACGGUCGCAAGAUUGAAACUCAAAGGAAUUGACGGGG